GACGAACGCUGGCGGCGUGCCUAAUACAUACAAGUAGAACGCACAGUUUAUACCGUAGCUUGCUACACCAUAGACUGUGAGUUGCGAACGGGUGAGUAACGCGUAGGUAACCUGCCUGGUAGCGGGGGAUAACUAUUGGAAACGAUAGCUAAUACCGCAUAAUAUUAAUUAUUGCAUGAUAAUUAAUUGAAAGGUGCAAUUGCACCACUACCAGAUGGACCUGCGUUGUAUUAGCUAGUAGGUGAGGUAACGGCUCACCUAGGCGACGAUACAUAGCCGACCUGAGAGGGUGAUCGGCCACACUGGGACUGAGACACGGCCCAGACUCCUACGGGAGGCAGCAGUAGGGAAUCUUCGGCAAUGGACGAAAGUCUGACCGAGCAACGCCGCGUGAGUGAAGAAGGGUUUCGGAUCGUAAAGCUCUGUUGUAAGAGAAGAACGGGUGUGAGAGUGGAAAGUUCACACUGUGACGGUAGCUUACCAGAAAGGGACGGCUAACUACGUG
rnacentral:rRNA from 1 species